rnacentral:rRNA from 1 species
AUUGAACGCUGGCGGCAGGCCUAACACAUGCAAGUCGAGCGGUAGAGAGAAGCUUGCUUCUCUUGAGAGCGGCGGACGGGUGAGUAAUGCCUAGGAAUCUGCCUGAUAGUGGGGGAUAACGUCCGGAAACGGACGCUAAUACCGCAUACGUCCUACGGGAGAAAGUGGGGGCUCUUCGGACCUCACGCUAUCAGAUGAGCCUAGGUCGGAUUAGCUAGUUGGUGGGGUAAGGGCUUACCAAGGCGACGAUCCGUAACUGGUCUGAGAGGAUGAUCAGUCACACUGGAACUGAGACACGGUCCAGACUCCUACGGGAGGCAGCAGUGGGGAAUAUUGGACAAUGGGCGAAAGCCUGAUCCAGCCAUGCCGCGUGUGUGAAGAAGGUCUUCGGAUUGUAAAGCACUUUAAGUUGGGAGGAAGGGUCGUUACCUAAUACGUGGCGAUUUUGACGUUACCGACAGAAUAAGCACCGGCUAACUCUGUGCCAGCAGCCGCGGUAAGAC